rnacentral:rRNA from 1 species
GUGCAGCAGGCGCGAAAACUCCACAAUGCGCGAAAGUGUGAACGGGCUACCCCGAGUGUCGUCCGCUGAGGAUGGCUUUUCUCUGCUGUAAGAAGGCAGAGGAAUAAGGAGAGGGCAAGUCUGGUGUCAGCCGCCGCGGUAAUACCAGCUCUCCGAGUGGUAGGGAUGAUUAUUGGGCUUAAAGCGUCCGUAGCUGGCCUUUCAAGUCUCUUGUUAAAUCCAGCGAUUCAAUCGUUGGACUGCGGGAGAUACUGUUAGGCUAGGGGGCGGGAGAAGCCGACGGUAUUUCCGGGGUAGGGGUAAAAUCCUAUAAUCCCGGGAAGACCACCAGUGGCGUAGGCGGUCGGCUAGCACGCGCUCGACAGUGAGGGGCGAAAGCUGGGGGAGAGAACCGGAUUAGAUACCCCGGUAGUCC